UGGCGUUGGAGUGAACUCUAUAGGGAGUGAUAAGAGGAGAAAUUCAAGUAAGGAAAGGAUCAAGAGGUAUUUAGGGAGAAAAAUGAGGAGAUGAGGAGUAAGGAUGAGGUGGAGUCGAACUGGGAACUUGGGCUUGAGAAAUUUGGCUAUAGGGGCUAUAAAUAGGUGCUGAAUAGGAGGUGGCCAGGCUAAUACCGAAUUUCCUUCACCUUGCCAUCGAAACCCUUUUCC
rnacentral:lncRNA from 1 species